rnacentral:rRNA from 1 species
UACAGAGGGUGCGAGCGUUAAUCGGAAUUACUGGGCGUAAAGCGUGCGCAGGCGGUUUUGUAAGUCUGUCGGGAAAUCCCCGGGCUCAACCUGGGAAUUGCGAUGGAGACUGCAAGGCUAGAAUCUGGCAGAGGGGGGUAGAAUUCCACGUGUAGCAGUGAAAUGCGUAGAGAUGUGGAGGAACACCGAUGGCGAAGGCAGCCCCCUGGGUCAAGAUUGACGCUCAUGCACGAAGGCGUGGGGAGCAAACAGG